CAGUCGCCGCGGGAAUACGAAGGGGGCUAGCGUUGCUCGGAAUGACUGGGCGUAAAGGGCGCGUAGGCGGCGGCCAAAGUCAGGCGUGAAAUUCCCGGGCUCAACCUGGGGGCUGCGUUUGAUACUUGGUUGCUUGAGUGGGGAAGAGGGUCGUGGAAUUCCCAGUGUAGAGGUGAAAUUCGUAGAUAUUGGGAAGAACACCGGUGGCGAAGGCGGCGACCUGGUCCUUUACUGACGCUGAGGCGCGAAAGCGUGGGGAGCAAACAGGAUUAGAUACCCGGGUAGUCCCUGUCUCUUAUAC
rnacentral:rRNA from 1 species